rnacentral:lncRNA from 1 species
ACAGUCCUCUCGCAGCAGCUGCUGGAGGUGGCUGUGUCCUUGCUGAUGGACCUGGAGGUGGCUGUGUCCUUGCUGAUGGACCUGGAGGUGGCUGUAUCCUUGCUGAUAGACCCGAGAUACCUGGAGACCCAGGCUCACUCCCUGCUCACUGCCUCAGAUCAGGGCUGGAGACAGAAACCCGGACACACAGGACCCUCUUGAGAAAGCCCAGGAGCCCUCAACAUCACAGGACACAGGUUCUGAAAGCAGAAGAAUCAUGUGCCAUCCAUCACACCAACAUCCCCACUUUCAACGUCCUGUACAAUACCUACCACUGGUAGGGGGUUAUGUCACAAGAAUGAAUGAGAAGAGCAGGAAGAAACAGCCUGAGAAUACAAGGGAGCUGGUGCACGUCAAGUCCAGUGGACUCUCCCAUGUGCAUCCUAGGAGCGCCUCAUCCCCAUCCCGUCAGCACCUGCUCUUCUGUCUCCCCGGAAUUUUGGCAAGAGCUGAGCUGUGCCCUUGUCUCUAGUCUUUACACCUCCUCACUCUGCUCCUACACAAACACAUUGCCCUGUGUUCAUCCGUGUCUAUCACAUACUACCCUGUUUCCCACAGGACAUCCAUCCCCUUCCCCCUCACUCACCCCGAUUUCCUUAUAUUAGAGUUCUUUGUUGCCAGGGCUCCCUGAACAUGCUCCACCUCCAUUAGGAAUCUAGGAAUCGGUGACCCCAUAGCAGUGGGUCUCACACUGGAGUGUGCCUCAGAAUCACCAGAGGGCUUGCAAGAACAGAUGGCUGGGCCCCAUUCCUGGAGUUGUUGAUUCUGUAGGCCUGAGAUGGACACUUGAGCUUGCAUUUCUAACAAGCUCCCAGGUGUGGGUGCUGCCACUGGUCCAGGCAGUGUGCUUUGGGAAUCACUACACUGGAAAAUUAUUCUUUAGACUGUUCUUUUCCCAGUGUUUGUUCUUGGCAGCUUUGUCAAAAAUGAGUUGGCUAUAAAUGGAUGCAUUUAUUCCUGGGUUCUCUUUUCUGUUCCAUUGGUCUAUGUGUCUGUUUCCAUGCUGAUUUGGUUACUACAGCUUUGUAGUAUAUUUUGACAUCAGGUGGUACCUCUGGCCCUAUUCUUUUUGCUCAGGAUGACUUUGGCUUUUCGAGGCCUUUUGUUGUUGUAUAUGAAUUUUAGGAUUUUUUUCUAUUUCUAUGAAAGUUGUCGUUGGAUCUUGUCAUUUGCAGCAAUACAGAUGAAACUGGAGGACAUCAGGUUAAGUGAAAUAAGCCAGGCACAGAAAGAUAGAUAUCACAUAUUCUCACUCAUAUGUAGGAGCUAAAAAAUUGAUCUCAUGGAGGUAGUAGUGGGUAGAAUGGUGGUUACCAGAGGAUGGGAAGGGUAGGUGAAGGUGGGAGGAUGAAGCAAGGUUAGUGGAUACAAAAACACAGUUCUGUAGAAGGAAUAAGAGCUGGUGUUUGGUAGCACAACACGGUGACUACAGUUAACAAAAAUUUAUUGUAUAUUUCAAAAUAGAGGCUGGGCGCGGUGGCUCACACCUGUAAUCCCAGCACUUUGGGAGGCUGAGGUAGGCGGAUCGCUUCAGGUCAGGAGUUCAAGACCAGCCUGGCCAACAUGGUGAACCCCCAUCUCUACUAAAAACACAAAAAUUAGCUGGGCAUGGUGGCACACGCCUGUAAUCCCAGUUACUUGGGAGGCUGAGGCAGGAGAAUUGCUAGGACCUGGGAGGUGGAGGUUGCAAUGAGUCAAGAUCACACCACUGCACUCCAGCCUAGGCCACAGAGUAAGGCUCUGUAAAAAAAAAAAAAAAAAAAAAAAAAAAAACAACAAGCCCCAAAACAAAAAACAAACAGAAUAGAUAGCAGAUCUGGAA